rnacentral:sRNA from 1 species
UCGGAUCUAUUGAUUCUAUACUGAUUGUACUAUAGUCUAGAUCGCUUUCUAGUCAUAGAACUAGGCUUUAAGUCCAGAUGUUAAAAGAAUUCUAAAACAUGGACAUAGAAAAACUUUUGAAGCGACGAGUUAGUUUCGAAGCUGAUUUGGAAUGUUUAACAAUGAACGAGUCUAACGAAGGUGAAAAUAUUGUUGCCGGACAAUGGGCGAAUCAAAGCAUAGGUGUCUUUACAAGUGGAGGAGAUGCACAAGGAAUGAACGCUGCGGUAAGAGCCAUUGUAAGAGUUGGCAUGUAUAUCGGCUGCAAAGUUUAUUACAUAAAAGAAG